UUAGUUACCUGGCUGGGGAGAUACUGUAAUCAUGUUGGUGGUUUCCCCAGGGUGUGCUCAUCCACUGACUCCAGAUGUGCUGACUUGUGUAAGUUUUCCAAAUGAGGGAAACUUUACUGUAGAAUUUGGGGUGGGGGGUUGUAUUGAGAAAAAAACCAA
rnacentral:snRNA from 1 species